UUACAGUCUCAUAAGUUUAGUAAAUAAGCUUCUUGCACUAUGCAAAUUUUUAUACUUAUUUGUACUCUAAUAGCUCUCUUGGAGCAUAUGAUAUUCACGGAGCCUUUCGAAAAAAACUACAAUUUCUCUAGCGAUGUCAGCGCAUGAUUUACGAGGCCGUGGCUAGCAAAUGAAAAUUGUAGCAAAAACACACCAAGCUGGGGACAUGGAAAUAGGAGCUGUGUAUAGAGGAAGACUGUGCAAGACAUGGGGAAAGACAAUCCUGUUUCCCGGCGCUAAAGUUUUGGCCGCAAAACAGGAAGUGGAAAUAAGUGCGCCGGACGAUGAGAGACAUGUGAAAUGUGUUUGGCUCCCAAACCACUUGAAAUAAAAUAACAAAAAAGAAUAGAAAACGGGCACACAUGCAAAAUAAACGGGUUCAAGUGGCGCUCGUAAAAACAGGAGC